AUGGAAUGGAGCUGGAUCAUCCUCUUGCUGGUGGGAGUAGUUACAGGUGUCUACUCACAGGUCCAGCUGCAACAGUCUGGAGCUGAGCUGGUGAGGCCUGGGGCCUCAGUGAAGUUGUCCUGCAAGGCUUCUGGCUACACCUUCACCAGCUACUAUAUUACCUGGGUGAAGCAGAGGCCUGGACAGAGCCUGGAGUGGAUUGGAUGGAUUUAUGCUGGAAGUGGUAGUACUAACUACAAUCAGAAGUUCCAGGGCAAGGCCACACUGACUGCAGACACAUCCUCCAGCACAGCCUACAUGGAGCUCAGCAGCCUGACCUCUGAGGACUCUGCGGUCUAUUACUGUGCAAGAGACACACUGCAUGUCAUCCUGUGGAGUCCCCAGGGUGUGGAGUAUGCAAACUUUGGCAACAUUUUGGGUUUGGGGCCAGAGCAGUGGGAUUCAAAACUGGGAAUGUAA